CGUACACGGUGGAUGCCCUGGCAGUCAGAGGCGAUGAAGGGCGUGCUAAUCUGCGAUAAGCGCCGGUAAGGUGAUAUGAACCGUUAUAACCGGCGAUACCCGAAUGGGGAAACCCAGUGUGACUCGUCACACUAUCAUUAACUGAAUCCAUAGGUUAAUGAGGCGAACCGGGGGAACUGAAACAUCUAAGUACCCCGAGGAAAAGAAAUCAACCGAGAUUCCCCCAGUAGCGGCGAGCGAACGGGGAGGAGCCCAGAGCCUGAAUCAGCAUGUGUGUUAGUGGAAGCGUCUGGAAAGGCGCGCGAUACAGGGUGACAGCCCCGUACACAAAAGCGCAUGUGCUGUGAGCUCGAUGAGUAGGGCGGGACACGUGGUAUCCUGUCUGAAUAUGGGGGGACCAUCCUCCAAGGCUAAAUACUCCUGACUGACCGAUAGUGAACCAGUACCGUGAGGGAAAGGCGAAAAGAACCCCGGCGAGGGGAGUGAAAAAGAACCUGAAACCGUGUACGUACAAGCAGUGGGAGCACCCUUUGGGUGUGACUGCGUACCUUUUGUAUAAUGGGUCAGCGACUU
rnacentral:rRNA from 1 species